rnacentral:rRNA from 1 species
GAGUAAUGUAUGGGGAUCUGCCCGAUAGAGGGGGAUAACUACUGGAAACGGUGGCUAAUACCGCAUAAUCUCUUAGGAGCAAAGCAGGGGACCUUCGGGCCUUGCGCUGUCGGAUGAACCCAUAUGGGAUUAGCUAGUAGGUAAGGUAAUGGCUUACCUAGGCGACGAUCCCUAGCUGGUCUGAGAGGAUGAUCAGCCACACUGGGACUGAGACACGGCCCAGACUCCUACGGGAGGCAGCAGUGGGGAAUAUUGCACAAUGGGCGCAAGCCUGAUGCAGCCAUGCCGCGUGUAUGAAGAAGGCCCUAGGGUUGUAAAGUACUUUCAGUCGGGAGGAAGGCGUUGAUGUUA